UACGUAGGGUGCAAGCGUUGUCCGGAAUUAUUGGGCGUAAAGGGCGCGUAGGCGGCCACCGCAAGUCGACUGUGAAAUCUCCGGGCUUAACCCGGAAAGGUCAGCCGAUACUGCGGGGCUAGAGUGCAGAAGGGGCAACUGGAAUUCUCGGUGUAGCGGUGAAAUGCGUAGAUAUCGAGAGGAACACCAGUGGCGAAGGCGAGUCCCUGGACACUUCCUGACACUGAGGCACGAAAGCUAGGGGAGCAAACAGG
rnacentral:rRNA from 1 species